rnacentral:rRNA from 1 species
ACGAACGCUGGCGGCGUGCUUAACACAUGCAAGUCGAACGGAAAGGCCCUGCUUUUGUGGGGUGCUCGAGUGGCGAACGGGUGAGUAACACGUGAGUAACCUGCCCUUGACUUUGGGAUAACUUCAGGAAACUGGGGCUAAUACCGGAUAGGAGCUCCUGCUGCAUGGUGGGGGUUGGAAAGUUUCGGCGGUUGGGAAUGGACUCGCGGCUUAUCAGCUGGUUGGUGGGGUAGUGGCUUACCAAGGCUUUGACGGGUAGCCGGCCUGAGAGGGUGACCGGCCACAUUGGGACUGAGAUACGGCCCAGACUCCUACGGGAGGCAGCAGUGGGGAAUAUUGCACAAUGGGCGGAAGCCUGAUGCAGCAACGCCGCGUGCGGGAUGACGGCCUUCGGGUUGUAAACCGCUUUCGCCUGUGACGAAGCGUGAGUGACGGUAAUGGGUAAAGAAGCACCGGCUAACUACGUG